rnacentral:rRNA from 1 species
AGAGAGAGAAUGCCGGAAUGAGUAGCGAGAUAGAGGUGGGAAUCCUCUAGGCCGAAUAUCCAAGGUUUCCAGAGUAAAGCUGAUCUGCUCUGGGUAAGUCGGGGCCUAAGGCGAGGACGAGAGUCGUAGCCGAUGGACAACAGGUGGAGAUUCCUGUACUGCGGUAUGACAGAACUGUGGGGACACGUAAGGAAAGCGGAAGCCGGGAAUGGAAAGCCCGGUGCAAGCGGGGUACCAGUCACUUUGGCAAAUCCGGGUGGCAGUGGGAAGCCGUGAUGCGGAGCGAAAUAAAGUAGUGAAGUCCGUGAGCCAUGCGUCAAGAAAAGCCGCUAUUGUUUAUACCGUACCCGUACCGUAAACCGACACAGGUGGAUGAGGAGAGAAUCCUAAGGCCGGCGGAAGAAGCAUUGCCAAGGAACUCGGCAAAAUGGCCCCGUAACUUAGGGAUAAGGGGUGCCUGGGAAACCAGGCCGCAGAGAAUAGGCUCAAGCAACUGUUUAGCAAAAACACAGGUCUAUGCGAAACCGAAAGGUGAGGUAUAUGGGCUGACGCCUGCCCGGUGCUGGAAGGUUAAGAGGAGAGGUUAGCGCAAGUGAAGCUUUGAAUUUAAGCCCCAGUAAACGGCGGCCGUAACAAUAACGGUCCUAAGGUAGCGAAAUUCCUUGUCGGGUAAGUUCCGACCCGCACGAAAGGCGUAAUGAUUUGAGCGCUGUCUCGACAAUGCAUCCGGUGAAAUUGAAGUACCAGUGAAGAUGCUGGUUACCUGCGCCAGGACGGAAAGACCCCAUGGAGCUUUACUCCAGUCUGGUACUGGGACUCGGUAUUGCAUGUACAGGAUAGGUGGGAGGCUAGGAGAUGGUAACGCCAGUUGCCAUGGAGCCGCUGUUGGGAUACCACCCUUGCAGUAUUGGGUUUCUAACCAGCCGCCGUGACCCGGCGGUGGGACAAUGCCAGACGGGGAGUUUGACUGGGCCGGUCGCCUCCGAAAGGGUAUCGGAGGCGCCCAAAGGUUCCCUCAGAAUGGACGGAAACCAUUCGAAGAGUGCAAAGGCAGAAGGGAGCUUGACUGCGACACCGACGGGUGGAGCAGGUACGAAAGUAGGGCUUAGUGAUCCGGUGGUAUUAAGUGGGAAUGCCAUCGCUCAACGGAUAAAAGCUACCCUGGGAUAACAGGCUUAUCACUCCCAAGAGUUCACAUCGACGGAGUGGUUUGGCACCUCGAUGUCGGCUCAUCGCAUCCUGGGGCUGUAGUAGGUCCCAAGGGUUGGGCUGUUCGCCCAUUAAAGCGGUACGCGAGCUGGGUUCAGAACGUCGUGAGACAGUUCGGUCCCUAUCCGGCGUGGGCGUAGGAUAUCUGAGAGGAGCUGUCCUUAGUACGAGAGGACCGGGAUGGACGGGCCGCUGGUGCAUCGGUUAGACUGCCAAGUCUACGGCCGAGUAGCCAAGCCCGGAAGGGAUAAACGCUGAAGGCAUCUAAGCGUGAAGCCCCCCUUAAGAUGAGAUAUCCCAUUCGUUAAGAAGUAAACCCCCUUGAAGACGACGAGGUAGAUAGGGCAGAGGUGGAAGUGCAGCAAUGCAUGGAGCUGACUGUUACUAAUCGGGUGAGGGCUUGACC